ACUUUGCCUUUAUGGGGAAAAGAUGAUGCCAUAAGCCCCAAAUCUCAUCUGCCCAUCAUCUUAACAGCCCUGGCAGGAGUCAACACCUCUUCCCAAGGUGGGGGCACCAAAGUGCCAGGGAGGUUCUCAUUCGCCCAGCCUGGGUCACAUGUCCUGGUGGGCUGUGGCCUGGUAAGGGGAUGCCCAGAUUGGCCAGGCAGGGAUCACAUGGUUGUAUGGAGUGAGCCA
rnacentral:lncRNA from 10 species